rnacentral:rRNA from 1 species
GACGAACGCUGGCGGCGUGCCUAAUACAUGCAAGUUGAGCGCUGAAGGUUGGUACUUGUACCAACUGGAUGAGCAGCGAACGGGUGAGUAACGCGUGGGGAAUCUGCCUUUGAGCGGGGGACAACAUUUGGAAACGAAUGCUAAUACCGCAUAAAAACUUUAAACACAAGUUUUAAGUGUGAAAGAUGCAAUUGCAUCACUCAAAGAUGAUCCCGCGUUGUAUUAGCUAGUUGGUGAGGUAAAGGCUCACCAAGGCGAUGAUACAUAGCCGACCUGAGAGGGUGGUCUGCCACACUGGGACUGAGACACGGCCCAAACUCCUACGGGAGGCAGCAGUAGGGAAUCUUCGGCAAUGGACGAAAGUCUGACCGAGCAACGCCGCGUGAGUGAAGAAGGUUUUCGGAUCGUAAAACUCUGUUGGUAGAGAAGAACGUUGGUGAGAGUGGAAAGCUCAUCAAGUGACGGUAACUACCCAGAAAGGGACGGCUAACUACGUG